rnacentral:rRNA from 1 species
UGAGGACAUUAAGGUAGCAUAAUCAAUUGUUUAAUAAAUUUAAACUAGAAUGAAAGGAGCAAAGGAAGUUUACUAUUAACAUGUAAUCAACAGAAAUUAUAACUAGGGUGAAAAUUCCCUACAGCAAUCUUAAAACGAGAAGACCCUAGAAACUAAUAAUCACAACCUUUUUUGGGAUAAAACCUUAAAACAAAAGAACUACCACCCCUUAAAAUAAAAUAGUUACUCUAGGGAUAACAGCACAAUAAAAGUCAAGAGAACUCAUCUACCCUUUAGAUUGUGACCUCGAUGUUGAAUCAAGAAUUACCGGUUGUAGAAGACCAGCAAGUUUCGUCUGUUCGACGAUACAUAAAUACGUGAUUUGAGUUUAAACCGUCGCAAGACAGGUUGGAUUCUCUUUAAGACUGCAACAUUCAACCAUUAUUAGUACGAAAGGACCAUUGU